GAAAAGGCAUACGAGGUGGAGAAUAGGUGGGAAAACAAUCACCAGUGAAAUACCACUACUCUUAUGACUUUUUU
rnacentral:rRNA from 1 species